rnacentral:snoRNA from 9 species
GCUAUGAUGAAUUUGAUUGCAUUGAUUAUCCAAAAUGAUAAUAUAUUUUGUCCUCUAAGAAGUUCUGAGCUU